AUGCAGUCGACGAGGUCUUCGGACCUAGUGGCGAACGGGUGAGUAACACCCCNUUUNAAGGGGCCCAGAGACCGGGAUAAGCCGAGGAAACUUGCCCCUNANANNGGAUGUCCCCACCGGAUCGCAUGGUCUGGUGAGGAAAUGGAUUCCGCUCUGGGAGCGUCUCGCGGCCUAUCAGCUAGUNGGNGAGGUAACGGCCCACCAAGGCAUCGANGGGUAGCUGGUCUGAGAGGAUGAUCAGCCACACNGGGACUGAGACACGGCCCAGACUCCUACGGGAGGCAGCAGNGGGGAAUCUUGCGCAAUGGGCGAAAGCCUGACGCAGCAACGCCGCGUGCGGGACGACNGNCCUCGGGUUGNAAACCGCUUUCANCAGGAACNGAUGANGACGGUACCUUGCANUAAGAAGCUCCGGCNAACUACGUUGCCAGCAGCCGCGGNUAAUACGUANGGAGCAAG
rnacentral:rRNA from 1 species